rnacentral:lncRNA from 1 species
UCAUUCUAUCUUCACAUUCAUUGUCUCUUCUCUUCUAUUAAUUUAUGACAAUAAUAUGUAAUACUAUACUUUCUUAAAAGACAACAUACAAUUACUCCAUAUUCCUAUCACUAGAAUCCUCCACAUUUAACUGUCAUUCUUCUUAUACUUUUUCACAUAAAUCUAGACUCUAAAGACUCCUUCUCAAAUGUCAAUAUUAUAAUUCUCUCAUUCAUAACCAUUCUUCACUAAUACUUCUAAUUGUCCACUUACAAUUCUCUACUGUAUUCAACCACAAUAAAUUCCAUACUUUAUUUACAAUAUUAAAUCUCUUUUUCAUUCUAAAAUUUUACUUCUUAUUAUUCAAAAACUAUCCAUUACUCUUCAACUACAAAGAAACAAAGAGAUAGCACCAAACUUACCUUGGCUCAUAACUAUCACAUUCUAGAUCCUCUUACUUUUUCUUCAACCUACUUAUGCU